AUUGAACGCUGGCGGCAUGCCUUACACAUGCAAGUCGAACGGUAACAGAUCUUCGGAUGCUGACGAGUGGCGAACGGGUGAGUAAUACAUCGGAACGUGCCUAGUAGUGGGGGAUAACUACUCGAAAGAGUGGCUAAUACCGCAUGAGAUCUACGGAUGAAAGCAGGGGAUCGCAAGACCUUGUGCUACUAGAGCGGCCGAUGGCAGAUUAGGUAGUUGGUGGGAUAAAAGCUUACCAAGCCGACGAUCUGUAGCUGGUCUGAGAGGACGAUCAGCCACACUGGGAAUGAGACACGGCACAGACUCCUACGGGAGGCAGCGGUGGGGAAUUUUGGACAAUGGGCGAAAGCCUGAUCCAGCAAUGCCGCGUGCAGGAUGAAGGCCUUCGGGUUGUAAACUGCUUUUGUACGGAACGAAAAGCCCUGGGUUAAUACCCUGGGGUCAUGACGGUACCGUAAGAAUAAGCACCGGCUGACUACGUGCCAGCCGCCGCCGUAAGAC
rnacentral:rRNA from 1 species